CCCCAAAAAAAGCUUGAAAUAUUAUGAAAAAAACAAAAUAUCGAUUUGCUUAUCUUUUGUAUGCAUUGUCUAUGGCAUGUGAUAGUGGAAUAAUCUUCAGACUCUUUAUCUGCCUAUUUUCCCACUUCACUAACUGUUCUUAUUUUAGCUGUCUCAAUCCACAAUAGGUUAGUUUUGGCCCUGGGAAAUCAGAAAUACUCUCAGAGAAGUGAGAAAAACAACCUAUUUUUCUGGUAUAUUCUUUUCAUCAACUGCACUGUUUUCCAAUACAAAGAUAGAUUCCAG
rnacentral:lncRNA from 1 species